GCUUUGAAAUUUCAUGUGCCAACAUUUUUAAAGCUAAAACCCCAGGGACAGAGAUCAAGCUGCAUUCAGCAAUGUUUGAAACUAGCUUUAUCUUCCAACUUUUUCAAGCUAAAACCAGUGUAUUAUCAGGAAGCUAACAAGCUAACAAACAUUUGCCAGGGUUCUCUCUGUUUUUAGCACCAAAUAGCAAUGUUAGAAAGCUAGCUUUACCCUCCAACUUUAACAUUUCACAUGCAAACCUUUUAAAAGCUAAAUCCGCAGGGUUAGAAGAGAAAUGUUGAUUUUCAGGUAGCAUAGCAAACAAGCUAGCUAGCACAAGCAUUAGCCUUCAUAGCCAAUGUUAGCUUCUCUCUGUUAUUAGCAGCAAUUAACAAUGUUAGAAAGCUAGCUUUGUCCUCUAGCUUUGAAAUUUCAUGUGCCAACAUUUUUAAAGCUAAAACCCCAGGGACAGAGAUCAAGCUGCAUUCAGCAAUGUUUGAAACUAGCUUUAUCUUCCAACUUUUUCAAGCUAAAACCAGUGUAUUAUCAGGAAGCUAACAAGCUAACAAACAUUUGCCAGGUUCUCUCUGUUUUUAGCACCAAAUAGCAAUGUUAGAAAGCUAGCUUUACCCUCCAACUUUCAUUUUUCACAUGCAAACCUUUUAAAAGCUAAAUCCACAGGGUUAGAAGAGAAAUGUUGAUUUUCAGGUAGCAUAGCAAACAAGCUAGCAAGCACAAGCAUUAGCCCUGGUAGCCAAUGUUAGCUUCUCUGUGUUAUUAGCAGCAAUUAGCAAUGUUAGAAAGCUAGCUUUGUCCUCUAGCUUUGAAAUUUCAUGUGCCAACAUUUUUAAAGCUAAAACCCCAGAGACAGAGAUCAAGCUGCAUUCAGCAAUGUUUGAAACUAGCUUUAUCUUCCAACUUUUUCAAGCUAAAACCAGUGUAUUAUCAGGAAGCUAACAAGCUAACAAACAUUUGCCAGGUUCUCUCUGUUUUUAGCACCAAAUAGCAAUGUUAGAAAGCUAGCUUUACCCUCCAACUUUCAUUUUUCACAUGCAAACCUUUUAAAAGCUAAAUCCACAGGGUUAGAAGAGAAAUGUUGAUUUUCAGGUAGCAUAGCAAACAAGCUAGCAAGCACAAGCAUUAGCCCUGGUAGCCAAUGUUAGCUUCUCUGUGUUAUUAGCAGCAAUUAGCAAUGUUAGAAAGCUAGCUUUGUCCUCUAGCUUUGAAAUUUCAUGUGCCAACAUUUUUAAAGCUAAAACCCCAGAGACAGAGAUCAAGCUGCAUUCAGCAAUGUUUGAAACUAGCUUUAUCUUCCAACUUUUUCAAGCUAAAACCAGUGUAUUAUCAGGAAGCUAACAAGCUAACAAACAUUUGCCAGGUUCUCUCUGUUUUUAGCACCAAAUAGCAAUGUUAGAAAGCUAGCUUUACCCUCCAACUUUCAUUUUUCACAUGCAAACCUUUUAAAAGCUAAAUCCACAGGGUUAGAAGAGAAAUGUUGAUUUUCAGGUAGCAUAGCAAACAAGCUAGCAAGCACAAGCAUUAGCCCUGGUAGCCAAUGUUAGCUUCUCUGUGUUAUUAGCAGCAAUUAGCAAUGUUAGAAAGCUAGCUUUGUCCUCUAGCUUUGAAAUUUCAUGUGCCAACCUUUUAAAAGCUAAAUCCGCAGGGUUAGAAGAGAAAUGUUGAUUUUCAGGUAGCAUAGCAAACAAGCUAGCAAGCUCAGAGACAGAGGGGCUAAUGCUGGAAAUGUGAACCUGACUCCAUUUUGACGUGGAAGUUCAAAAUUUAAGACAAGCAGGGACCAGACAAUUCAAAAAAUAUUUUAAUGUAGGUAUCAGGGACAAGACUUUUAAACACAAUUAAUUGACAUGACAGAGAAAAGCUAGCAUACUCCUUACAAGAUUAAUGUGACUUACUUGUUGCACAUGGUGGGGAACUUUCAGUCAUCUCUCAGUUGUUCCUAUGAAGUGUCCAGGCGGAAACGGUGAAGUCCCUCUGCUCCUGUGAAGGCUCCCACACCUUCUCUGAGACUGCUGACUCCAAACACAUCUCCGGCAGUUGAACCAGUAUGAAAGCUCAUUACUGCCCCCUACUGCACUGGAGACGAUGCCUCAGCAACAACAGCUUGAUGUAGAAAACUUGGUCUGUGCCAGGACUUGAACCUGCAACCUUCCAGAUCCCAAGCCAAGACCUUAUGGACUGAGCUACUGCUUCUUCACCACCCAUGAAAGAAAUGGUCUCCUGCUCAGGACUUCAGUGGCUCCAUAUCCAAGUACAUACCUGGAGGGGGAGGUUUGUUUCCUUUUCAUCUGACUGCUGAAUACACCAGCUCCCAGAGAUUAUAAGCCCUACCCAGAUGGAGAAGCCACCUCUCAUGCUUCCUAAUCCUAGGAAUUGGAGUUGCUGCCAAUGGUUUCCCUCAAUGACUGGAUGUGACACCAGCUGCUGAUGUUCUGUCUGGAUGUCUCAGAUGGACACUAAAGGGUUUGGUUCAGUCAGUAAAGAGCGGAUGUCCCAGGAGCUGGAAUUAGCCCGCAGGGUUCUUUCCUGAGGAUUUUCUUGUACAUCGCUUGGUUUUCAAGCAUCACUCGUGUCUUACAAGUGGGGAACUUGCUGAUCCACCAACAGAUGGGGUCUGGUACUGUCCAGAGGGAGGGCUUGGGAUGUCUUUUCAUUGAUCUGUUGGCAAAUUGACAAAAGUAAUGGAUCAAAUAAUGAAUAACAAGGAAUGUAGCAUCAAUGUGGAAGUCAAGAUGAAUUUUGCAAUAAAUCUACUUAUUCAGGUCCUGAUAA